rnacentral:rRNA from 1 species
GCUUAACCGGAGAAGUGCAUCGGAAACUGGGAGACUUGAGUGCAGAAGAGGACAGUGGAACUCCAUGUGUAGCGGUGGAAUGCGUAGAUAUAUGGAAGAACACCAGUGGCGAAGGCGGCUGUCUAGUCUGUAACUGACGCUGAGGCUCGAAAGCAUGGGUAGCAAACAGGAUUAGAUACCCUGGUAGUCCAUGCCGUAAACGAUGAGUGCUAGGUGUUGGAGGGUUUCCGCCCUUCAGUGCCGCAGCUAACGCAUUAAGCACUCCGCCUGGGGAGUACGACCGCAAGGUUGAAACUCAAAGGAAUUGACGGGGGCCCGCACAAGCGGUGGAGCAUGUGGUUUAAUUCGAAGCUACGCGAAGAACCUUACCAGGUCUUGACAUCUUCUGCCAAUCUUAGAGAUAAGACGUUCCCUUCGGGGACAGAAUGACAGGUGGUGCAUGGUUGUCGUCAGCUCGUGUCGUGAGAUGUUGGGUUAAGUCCCGCAACGAGCGCAACCCUUAUUAUCAGUUGCCAGCAUUAAGUUUGGCACUCUGGUGAGACUGCCGGUGACAAACCGGAGGAAGGUGGGGAUGACGUCAAAUCAUCAUGCCCCUUAUGACCUGGGCUUCACACGUGCUACAAUGGACGGUACAACG